AGAGUUUGAUCCUGGCUCAGAUUGAACGCUGGCGGCAUGCCUUACACAUGCAAGUCGAACGGCAGCACGAGAGCUUGCUCUUGGUGGCGAGUGGCGAACGGGUGAGUAAUAUAUCGGAACGUACCCUAGAGUGGGGGAUAACGUAGCGAAAGUUACGCUAAUACCGCAUACGAUCUACGGAUGAAAGUGGGGGAUCGCAAGACCUCAUGCUCAUGGAGCGGCCGAUAUCUGAUUAGCUAGUUGGUGGGGUAAAAGCUCACCAAGGCGACGAUCAGUAGCUGGUCUGAGAGGACGACCAGCCACACUGGAACUGAGACACGGUCCAGACUCCUACGGGAGGCAGCAGUGGGGAAUUUUGGACAAUGGGCGCAAGCCUGAUCCAGCAAUGCCGCGUGAGUGAAGAAGGCCUUCGGGUUGUAAAGCUCUUUUGUCAGGGAAGAAACGGUGGACUCUAAUACAGAUCACUAAUGACGGUACCUGAAGAAUAAGCACCGGCUAACUACGUGCCAGCAGCCGCGGUAAUACGUAGGGUGCAAGCGUUAAUCGGAAUUACUGGGCGUAAAGCGUGCGCAGGCGGUUGUGCAAGACAGAUGUGAAAUCCCCGGGCUCAACCUGGGAAUUACAUUUGUGACUGCACGGCUAGAGUGUGUCAGAGGGGGGUAGAAUUCCACGUGUAGCAGUGAAAUGCGUAGAGAUGUGGAGGAAUACCGAUGGCGAAGGCAGCCCCCUGGGAUAACACUGACGCUCAUGCACGAAAGCGUGGGGAGCAAACAGGAUUAGAUACCCUGGUAGUCCACGCCCUAAACGAUGUCUACUAGUUGUCGGGUCUUAAUUGACUUGGUAACGCAGCUAACGCGUGAAGUAGACCGCCUGGGGAGUACGGUCGCAAGAUUAAAACUCAAAGGAAUUGACGGGGACCCGCACAAGCGGUGGAUGAUGUGGAUUAAUUCGAUGCAACGCGAAAAACCUUACCUACCCUUGACAUGUCUGGAAUCCUUGAGAGAUCAGGGAGUGCUCGAAAGAGAAUCAGAACACAGGUGCUGCAUGGCUGUCGUCAGCUCGUGUCGUGAGAUGUUGGGUUAAGUCCCGCAACGAGCGCAACCCUUGUCAUUAGUUGCUACGAAAGGGCACUCUAAUGAGACUGCCGGUGACAAACCGGAGGAAGGUGGGGAUGACGUCAAGUCCUCAUGGCCCUUAUGGGUAGGGCUUCACACGUCAUACAAUGGUACAUACAGAGGGCCGCCAACCCGCGAGGGGGAGCUAAUCCCAGAAAGUGUAUCGUAGUCCGGAUUGUAGUCUGCAACUCGACUACAUGAGGUUGGAAUCGCUAGUAAUCGCGGAUCAGCAUGUCGCGGUGAAUACGUUCCCGGGUCUUGUACACACCGCCAGUCACACCAUGGGAGCGGGUUUCACCAGAAGUGGGUAGCCUAACCGCAAGGAGGGCGCUCACCACGGUGGGAUUCGUGACUGGGGUGAAGUCGUAACAAGGUA
rnacentral:rRNA from 1 species